GGGCACUAGUGCCCAGCACCCUGGUCAGAGUAGGGCACUAGCCCUCAGCACCCUGGUCAAAGUAGGGUACUAGACCCCAGCACCCUGUUCAAAGUAGGGCACUAGCCCCUAGCACCCUGGUCAAAGUAGGGCACUAGCCCCCAGCACCCUGGUCAAAGUAGUGCACCAGCACCCUGGUCAAAGUAGGGCACUAGCCCCCAGCACCCUGGUCAAAGUAGGGCACUAGCCCCCAGCACCCUGGUCAAAGUAGGGCACUAGCCCCUAGCACCCUGGUCAAAGUAGGGCACUAGUCCCCAGCACCCUGGUCAAAGUAGGGCACUAGCCCCCAGCACCCUGGUCAAAGUAGUGCACUAGCCCCCGGCACCCUCAUCCAAGUAGUGCACUAGCCCCCAGCACCCUCAUCAAAGUAGUGCACUAGUCCCAGCACCGUGGUCAAGGUAGUGCACCAGCACCCUGAUCAAAGUAGUGCACUAGUCCCCAGCACCCUCAUCAAAGUAGUGCACUAGCCCCCGGCACCCUCAUCAAAGUAGUGCACUAGCCCCCAGCACCCUCAUCAAAGUAGUGCACUAGCCCCCAGCACCCUGGUCAAAGUAGGGCACUAGCACCCUGGUCAAAGUAGGGCACUAGCCCCCAGCACUUUUUAGCUGCAUUUACACAGUCAGCUGAAUUCUGAUCUUUUCCCCAAUUUUUGACAAAAUAGCUAAUUGAUCAAAAGGUGCAAUUAGUGGGAAGAAUAUUAUAAUUGUGUUGGCUGUGUAAACGCAGCCAUGUUGAAUUUGGUGUUUUAGAUGCAGUCCAGUGUAUUCUAUCCAUUCACUCAGCAGGUUAACAAAUCCAACAUCUGUCUUCACUUUCACACCUUUAUACAGAUUAUUCAGGAAGUAUUCAGACCCCUUCCCCCUUCUCCACAUUUUGUUACGUUACAGACUUAUUCUAAAAUUAAUUAAAUAAUCUCAUGAAUCUCAUCAAUCUACACACACUACCCCAUAAUGACAAUGCGAAAACAGGUUUUUAGAAAUGUUUGCUAAUUUUUUAAAUAAGAAACAGAAAUACCUUAUUUACAUAAGUAUUCAGACCCUUUGCUAUGAGACCCCAAAUUGAGCUCAGGUGCAUCCUGUUUCCAUUGAUCAUCCUUGAGAUGUUUCUACAACUUGAUUGGAGUCCACCUGUGGUAAAUUCAAUUGAUUUGACAUGAUUUGGAAACCAAGCCAUGAGGUCGAAGGAAUUGUCCGUAGAACUCCAAGACAGGAUAGUAUCGAGGCAUAGAUCUGGGAAUAGGUACCAAAAUAAUUAUUCAGCAUUGAACACAGUGGCCUACUUUAUUCUAAAUGAAAGAAGUUUGUAGCCACCAAAACUCUUCCUAGAGCUUUCUGCCCAGCCAUUGGGGGAGAAGGGCCUUGGUCAAGGAGGUGACCAAGAACCUGAUGGUCAUUCUGUGGAGAUGGGAGAACCUUCCAGAAGGACAACCAUCUCUGCAGCACUCCACCAAUCAGGCCUUUAUGGUAGAGUGGCCAGACAGAAGCCACUCCUCAGUAAAAGGCACUUGACAGCCCACUUGGAGUUUGCCAAAAGGCACCUAAAGAAAUCAGAUUCUCUGGUCUGAUGAAACCAAGAUUGAACUCUUUGGCCUGAGUGCCAAGCGUCACGUCUGGAAGAAACCUGGCACCAUCCCUACGGUGAAGUAUGGUGGUGGCAGCAUCCCUACGGUGAAGCACGGUGGUGGCAGCAUCCCUAUGGUGAAGCAUGGUGGUGGCAGCAUCCCUAUGGUGAAGCAUGGUGGUGGCAGCAUCCCUAUGGUGAAGCAUGGUGGUGGCAGCAUCCCUACGGUGAAGCAUGGUGGUGGCAGCAUCCCUACAGUGAAGCAUGGUGGUGGCAGCAUCCCUACAGUGAAGCACUGUGGUGGCACCAUCCCUACGGUGAAGCAUGGUGGUGGCAGCAUCCCUACAGUGAAACACGGUGGUGGCAGCAUCAUGCUGUGGGGAUGUUUUUCAGCUUCCAGGGACUGGGAGACUAGUCAGGAUUGAGGGAAAGAUGAACGGAGCAAAGUACAGAGAGAUCCUUAAUGACAACCUGCCCCAGAGCGCUCAGGACCUCAUUCUGGAGCGAAGGUUCACCUUCCAACAGGACCACAACCCUAAGCACACAGCCAAGACAACACAAGAGUGGCUUCAGGACAAGUCUGAAUGUCCUUGACUGGCCCAUCCAGAGCCUGGAUAUGAACCUGAUCGAACAUCUCUGGAGAGACCUGAAAAUAGCUGUGCAGUGAAGCUCCCCAUCCAACCUGACAGAGCUUGAGAGGAUCUGCAGAGUAGAAUUGAAGAAACUCCCCAAAUACAUGUGUGCCAAGCUUGUAGCGUCAUACCCAAGAAGACUUGAGGCUGUAAUCACUGCCAAAGAUGCUUCAACAAAGUACUGAGUAAAGGGUCUGAAUUACUUAUGUAAAUGUGAUAUUUCAGUUUUGUAUUUCUAAUAAAUGUAUAAACAUUUCUAAAAAAACAAACAGUUUUUGCUUUGUCCUUAUGGGGUAUUGUGAUGUCAUUAUGGGGUAUUGUGUGUCGAUUGAU
ensembl:lncRNA